rnacentral:rRNA from 1 species
UGGGGAAUAUUGCACAAUGGGCGCAAGCCUGAUGCAGCCAUGCCGCGUGUGUGAAGAAGGCCUUCGGGUUGUAAAGCACUUUCAGCGGGGAGGAAGGCGAUAAGGUUAAUAACCUUGUCGAUUUACGUUACCCGCAGAAGAAGCACCGGCUAACUCCGUGCCAGCAGCCGCGGUAAUACGGAGGGUGCAAGCGUUAAUCGGAAUUACUGGGCGUAAAGCGCACGCAGGCGGUUUGUUAAGUCAGAUGUGAAAUCCCCGGGCUCAACCUGGGAACUGCAUCUGAUACUGGCAAGCUUGAGUCUCGUAGAGGGGGGUAGAAUUCCAGGUGUAGCGGUGAAAUGCGUAGAGAUCUGGAGGAAUACCGGUGGCGAAGGCGGCCCCCUGGACGAAGACUGACGCUCAGGUGCGAAAGCGUGGGGAGCAAACAGG